rnacentral:rRNA from 1 species
AAUGGACGAAAGUCUGAGGCAGCAACACCGCGUGGAGGAUGAAGGCCUUCGGGUUGUAAACUCCUUUUUUAGGGGAAGAGAAAGGACGGUACCCUAGGAAUAAGUCUCGGCUAACUACGUGCCAGCAGCCGCGGUAAAACGUAGGAGGCAAGCGUUAUCCGGAUUUACUGGGCGUAAAGCGCAUGCAGGCGGUUUUUUAAGUCGGACGUGAAAGCUCCCGGCCCAACUGGGAGAGGUCGUUCGAAACUAGGAAACUUGAGGAUGGUAGAGGUAAGUGGAAUUCCCGGUGUAGUGGUGAAAUGCGUAGAUAUCGGGAGGAACACCAGUGGCGAAGGCGGCUUACUGGGCCAUUCCUGACGCUCAGAUGCGAAAGCUAGGGGAGAGAACGGGAUU